GGCCAGACUCCUACGGGAGGCAGCAGUGGGGAAUAUUGCACAAUGGGGGAAACCCUGAUGCAGCGACGCCGCGUGAGUGAAGAAGUAUUUCGGUAUGUAAAGCUCUAUCAGCAGGGAAGAAAAUGACGGUACCUGAUUAAGAAGCCCCGGCUAACUACGUGCCAGCAGCCGCGGUAAUACGUAGGGGGCAAGCGUUAUCCGGAUUUACUGGGUGUAAAGGGAGCGUAGACGGUGAUGCAAGUCAGAAGUGAAAGCCCGGGGCUCAACUCCGGGACUGCUUUUGAAACUGUGUGACUUGAGUGCAGGAGAGGUAAGCGGAAUUCCUGGUGUAGCGGUGAAAUGCGUAGAUAUCAGGAGGAACACCAGUGGCGAAGGCGGCUUACUGGACCGUAACUGACGUUGAGGCUCGAAAGCGUGGGGAGCAAACAGGAUUAGAUACCCGCGUA
rnacentral:rRNA from 1 species